GCUAAUUUUUAUUUCUUCAUUCAUGAACUUUCUUUUGCAAAACAUGGAUAUUUUUGGGGGAAAAAAAAAAAAAUGGAAAAAUCUGACUUAUCACCUUAAUUUGCAGCAACAAGUCCAUGACGAUGGUACUUCAAACAAGUGUCUAUUGUGACUCCGAGAUCCGUGGCUGUAAUUUGCAUGGGGACAGGUGUGAUAUCUAUGUAAUACACACUAUCUUUUCCCAAUAAUACAUAUACUAUAUACUAUUACGGCCCUCGUACCCGCCUCGCCAACCACUAAUCUCUCCAACUAACCAUCGGCCUCGAAUACCGUCUCGACCACACCGUGGCGGUAUCAUAAAGUCGAAGCUUUGGAAACACGUCUCGAUUCACGUUUCGAUCGAACUAACCGAGCUGGCGACCUCCACUCUUCGUCAGUCUCACUCGCUUCUCGCAGUUGGAGCCAUCCUCUCUCCUGCUGCCUGAUUUCGGUCAAAUCGACAAGCCAAGAGCUGAAUGAUGCAAAGCUAGCACAACUCACCCAGGAGACCCAAGUGAUGUGGCACGCAGGAGGAAGAGGAGAAGCAGCUGCACCUGGUGUAGGAGGACGUGGCCAUGCAGACUGGCCAUGCAGACUGCCAUCGGGUCUAUGGAGAUGAGGACAUGUCAGCACACCUGCACAAAGUACACACUUCCACCCUGCUUCAGUGAGAAUGGCCCCUCACUGCUACUCUGUACUCAUGUUUUAUACAUUCCACCUCAAAUUAUUUGAACACAACAAAUCUCACUACAUAACACAUUCCCAACAGUCUCUCUCUCUCUCUCUCUCUCUCUCUCUCUCUCUCUCUCUCUCUCUCUCUCUCUCUCUCUCUCUCUCUCUCUCUCUCUCUCUCU